rnacentral:lncRNA from 1 species
CCGCCAUACACAUAUCCAAACCCAUAACCAUACACCAGAUUUGACCCAGACUCCAUCAACUCCUCUGACUCCGGCCAUCUCGACGCCGACAGGGACAGGACGACGACUCCAGCCCGAACAGCGAUCUCAGUGGCCUCAACGACGAAAAAAUCAAGCGAAGACUCCACCAGCGAUUCCAGCCCGAACAGCGAUCUCAGUGGCCUCAACGACGCUCACCAGCGAAGACUCCACCUGAUCAUCUCCUAGCACCGGCGACUACUCCACCUGCACACCUCCGCCAGCAACAACCUCGAUCUCACUUGCACACCGCCGCCAGCGACGACCUCGAUCUCACCUGUACAAGCUUACCUCGACCGCCCAGACGCCGACGACUCCCUCUCCGGCGUUCAACCACCGACCCG